UUCGAAUGAUGACAGUGGUGAGGGGGAAAGGGUCAUAUGGCGCUGUAAUCACUGUGGCAAAAACUGUAAGCAUUUUCCGGCUUUCGCACCAGCCCUAGGGAGAAGCAGUGACUGGGCGUCCAUUUCCUCGGCUGGUGUCCCUUCGUCAGCAUGUUGCGUGGAACAAGGCGAUGAUGGUGGACCUGGUAUUCUGGAGGAACGUGGAUUAAGGACGGAGCCCAGCGAUGACAGAUUUCACUUCACCUCCAGUACUCCUGCCCCACGCCAUCCUGAAAGGUCGAAAUGAAGAUAAUGGAGGCAUAUGAAGUGCUGCAUCUCUUACAAAGUUGUCAGCACGUCUAGAACAGAUGGUUCCUGAACCGGAGACCUCGUGCGGCAUUCUUCAAGGGUGUCAGGAGAUUCUGCUCUGCUGUACCAUAUACAUCAAGUCGGUGUUCCCUCCAUUCCUUGGCGUGGAGGGGCCACCUUCCCACACCGUGGCUCGUGG